GAUCGUGGCUCAGGAUGAACGCUGGCGGCGUGCCUAAUACAUCCAAGUCGAGCGGGAUCCUCUAGAUUCGUCUGGAGGUGAGAGCGGCGGACGGGUGAGUAACACGUAGGCGACCUGCCCCGAAGACAGGGAUAACCAUCGGAAACGGUGGCUAAUACCUGAUGUGCUCGGCAAUUCGUUUUGCCGAGUAAAGGCUCCGGCGCUUCGGGAUGGACCUGCGGCCUAUCAGCUAGUUGGUAGGGUAACGGCCUACCAAGGCAAAGACGGGUAGGGGGCGUGAGAGCGUGAUCCCCCACAAUGGCACUGAGACACGGGCCAUACUCCUACGGGAGGCAGCAGUCAGGGAUAUUGCACAAUGGGCGAAAGCUUGAUGCAGCGACGCCGCGUGGGCGAUGAAGGCCUUCGGGUUGUAAGGCCCUUUUCUGGGGGAAGAGACAAGGACGGUACCCCAGGAAUAAGCGCCGGCUAACUACGUGCCAGCAGCCGCGGUAAAACGUAGGGCGCAAGCGUUAUCCGGAUUCACUGGGCGUAAAGUGCGUUGAGGCGGUUCCGUAAGUUGGACGUUAAAGCCCCCGGCCUAACUGGGGGAGGCCGUUCAAUACUGCGGAACUUGAGGGCAGCAGAGGCAGGUGGAAUUCCCGGUGUAGUAGUGAAAUGCGUAGAUAUCGGGAGGAACACCCGUGGCGAAGGCGGCCUGCUGGGCUGCUCCUGACGCUGAAGGCGAAAGCUAGGGUAGCAAACGGGAUUAGAAACCCCGGUAGUCCUAGCCGUAAACGAUGGAUGCUGGGCGUGGGGGGUAUAGACUCCCCCCGUGCCGAAGCUAACGCGUUAAGCAUCCCGCCUGGGGACUACGGCCGCAAGGCUAAAACUCAAACGAAUUGACGGGUCCCCGCACAAGCAGCGGAGCGUGUGGUUCAAUUCGAUUUACACGAAGAACCUUACCUGGGUUUGACAUGUGGGUAGUAGUGAAGCGAAAGCGGAACGACCCUUCGGGGAGCCUACACAGGUGCUGCAUGGCUGUCGUCAGCUCGUGCCGUGAGGUGUCGGGUUAAGUCCCGUAACGAGCGCAACCCUCGUCCUUAGUUACAAGUGUCUAGGGAGACUGCCGGCGACAAGCCGGAGGAAGGUGAGGAUGACGUCAAGUCAGCAUGGCCUUUAUAUCCAGGGCUACACACACGCUACAAUGGCCGGCACAAUGGG
rnacentral:rRNA from 1 species